GAUAUCUGAUACCACGUGGCUCAGCAAUAACACUGGGAGAGUUAGCCAAGGGUUGCUUCUCACAGAUUGGCUGAGCAUCUAUCAGUGGGUGGCAUGAAGAAGAGAAGGCAGCGGCGGUGGGAGCAGGUAUUCCCAGAGCCAUCCAUCGCUGCCUGUCACUGCUCUCGUCCAGGUUGAAGGCCCAGUGGAAGCCUUCUAACCCUGCUCGCUUGUGCACAGAAGCAAAGGGUACAGCCAUAAGACAGAAGAGCACAGAUGUGCUGAGGUGCUGCAUGAGGAUAUCCAACAUGGGGCUGCUUUAAUGUGAAGCGAGAUCCAGGCAGAGGAUGCUCCGAAUGCAGCUCAGACAAAAGUGUGCUUCAGCCACACAAACGCAGAGCACAGUCUUUGCCGUGUCCCAGAAGCAUCUGGAGCAAAACCAUGGCAAUACGAUGUACCCUCGCAAAAUGACUUAGGUGAAAGCAGUGGAAAAAGCUGGUUACUCCAUCUCCCAGGCCUUUCUCACCCCUUUGGAAAUUUCCACCGAAGCCCACCAGGGACAAGCCGUGAGCCCGCAGGGCUGUAGAGGAUGCCCUGAGAACGUGGGGACACAUGGGAAAGCUCCGUGCACCCCCUGGGAAAGUUUGUGUUUUUCAGGAGCCUGGCUGGCUGCCUGCAUCUCACAUGGUGUGGAGCAUCUCCUGCGGUCAGCAACAGCGGAUGAGAGCAGUUCCCUGGAGGCACCUCACAGAGUGAGAUCCGUCUGCUGCUGCUGUAGUUUCAUGCCCUUCCAUGGCCACAGAAGAACGCUCAAGCAGAUAUUUCGGUAUACUGCAGAAAUGACCUGAGUGUGCUGGAUUCUAGCUGGGUUAUCCAGGGUCUUUUCUGGCCAGUAAUGUGUUCUCCUAGAGGAGAGCCAGAAAAAGGAUGGGCCAGAGCAACUUUGCUUGAACUCUCCAACCCAAAGUCAUUUCCAAACAUCAUGAGGCUGGAUUUGGAAGCCAAGUUUUGGUGUUCAGGAAGGACUGAUUGUUACUCCCUUCCUUAGCCUUAAAUUCAGUAAGGUGCUGAAAAACAAAGCGUAGGCAUAGGAUCAGUUGUGACUCUUAGCAGAUGAACUGGACUGCCUGAUUACCUGUUGAUGAGCCAUUUAAUUGGAG
ensembl:lncRNA